rnacentral:rRNA from 1 species
CCUACGGGUGGCAGCAGUCGAGAAUCAUUCACAAUGGGGGAAACCCUGAUGGUGCGACGCCGCGUGGGGGAAUGAAGGUCUUCGGAUUGUAAACCCCUGUCAUGUGGGAGCAAAUUAAAAAGAUAGUACCACAAGAGGAAGAGACGGCUAACCCGGUGCCAGCAGCCGCGGUAAUACAGAGGUCUCAAGCGUUGUUCGGGAUCACUGGGCGUAAAGCGUGCGUAGGCUGUUUCGUAAGUCGUGUGUGAAAGGUGCGGGCUCAACCCGCGGACGGCACAUGAUACUGCGAGACUAGAGUAAUGGAGGGGGAACCGGAAUUCUCGGUGUAGCAGUGAAAUGCGUAGAUAUCGAGAGGAACACUCGUGGCGAAGGCGGGUUCCUGGACAUUAACUGACGCUGAGGCACGAAGGCCAGGGGAGCGAAAGGGAUUAGAUACCCGAGUAGUC